rnacentral:rRNA from 1 species
UACGUAGGAGGCGAGCGUUGUCCGGAGUUACUGGGCGUAAAGGGUGCGCAGGCGGCCGUGCACGUGGGUGGUGAAAUCUCCCGGCUCAACUGGGAGGGGGCUGUCCAUACGGUGCGGCUUGAGGCUCGGAGGGGGGCGUGGAAUUCCGGGUGGAGCGGUGAAAUGCGUAGAGAUCCGGAGGAACACCGAUGGCGAAGGCAGCCCCCUGGGCCAAUACUGACGCUCAUGCACGAAAGCGUGGGGAGCAAACAGG